rnacentral:rRNA from 1 species
UACGUAGGGGGCAAGCGUUGUCCGGAAUUAUUGGGCGUAAAGAGCGCGUAGGCGGUCCGAUAAGUCGGCUGUGAAAGUCAGGGGCUCAACCCUUGAAAGCCGGCCGAUACUGUCGGACUAGAGUCCGGAAGAGGCAAGUGGAAUUCCCGGUGUAGCGGUGAAAUGCGCAGAUAUCGGGGAGGAACACCAAUGGCGAAGGCAGCUUGCUGGGACGGUACUGACGCUGAGGCGCGAAAGCGUGGGGAGCAAACAGG